GAGCUGGAAAGCUAUCUCUCGGCAGACCUGAUGGUGUCUGUCUCCAGAUUGCUCCUCCUCUGGCAUUCCCCAUCCCAGAACCACAAUCCAGGGGAGCCCCAACUUCUCCCCACUCACCCAGGAUGAGUCCGACAAAGUCCCAAGGACUCUGCCUCCAAAAUUGAUCUUGAAUCAGCUCAUCCUCUCUUCUGCUUAGCCCAGAAAGACUUACCUUAUCUCUCACCUCGAGUCUUCAUCUUUCUGACCGUUGGCUUAAACCUUUGUCACCGGACCCCAACGUCGGUUGAGUCAGUCUCCAACAAGGGUUUUCCUGCCUGGUGUUCUUUAAGCCAAUUAACGGGACCAAAUUUGGUUCAGGAGCCAAGGAAAGCUUUCUUUUUUGGACAGAAACAGCUCCCAGCGGGCUCUAAAGCAUACCCAGCCAUGCACCUGAGGCUCCCGGCUCCCCGUGGUCCCCACGUGCUCCUGGACAGGCUGUGGGAGGGGCUACUGUGUAGGGAUCUCCUGGCGGAGGGGGCGGAGUUCCCUGCGGCUGGAGACCGGUGCUCUGCUGAGGCUCCAGGCAGCGUCUCCGCACACAGCGGCCACCACCAUCCUAGACUGAGUGUGGUGAGCAGUGCUUCUCCAAACGGCCUGGAGCUGAGACGUCAGUACUAGGGGCUCUGGCCCCCGGUGCUUGGGGCAAAGCGUCUACAGGCAGCCCUCUGUGAGCAAGUGAAAGGGACUGAACACAAAGGACUAAAGAAAGAUCAAACAAUCAGUGACUUUCCAUCCAUCUUGAGCAUCUCUGGUCACAUUGUAGAAGAAAUGUGUUUGCCCUGAGGCAACAGUGGGGUGUCUUUCCUGCUGCCUGGCUUCUCUUUGGGAUUGUGUUUUUGUAAUGGGUCAGCCUCUGUGCUCCACUCCCCUCCCCAUUGCCUCGGUUGGUCCCAGCUGGAUUUGUUAUCUGGGCUGCUCGAUUCCCCAGUUGGAGAGGAGCAUGGCCUGCAUUGUUUGUGUUCUCUCGGUGUGCUUCCUCUCGGGCUUUUGAGAAGACUGUGGACUUUCCUUCCCCUGUUAGGAGUACAUGGAGGAGGCUCCGAUGUCAGCCCAGCCAAAAAGGAGAAGUUUUUGGACUUCCUGCUGGUUAAGAGCUUAGAGCAAGAGGGGUUCCCACGGGCACUCACCGGAUCACCAGGGCAGCUGGAAAGCUGUGGUGAUACCUAGAGGUGAGCCCAUGGAGCCCCAGCCAAUGAAGACUCAGCCACGGUUCGCCUCAUCAGCAGUGCGGGGAGGAGAGCCUGGCGGGGAAGUGUUUCCUCUUCUUGUCAGCAGCCCACAGGGCUUCCUGAUUAUGGGGGUCCUGGUCUUGCGAGUGGCUCACAGCGCUCCCUGGCCCACUUGAGAGAAACUAGCUCUGGCAGGAAGAGGUCAAGUCACCAGUCACUUACUCACCUGAACCGGGAUGGGGCAUCCUUGUUCCAGCUUGUCAGGUGGUCCUCAUUACCUGGGCCUUUUCCUGGUAUCACCUCUUGGCUCACUGGACUGGCCACUUUCCUUUACCAGAUCAAAAGUGACUCGGGAGAAUGCUUCUGCUGACCCCCAGAGAUUGGCAAGGACAAAAACCCCAAUGCUGCCACUACUCCCUUGUACAGGGGCCAGGAGGACAGUACUGCUGGUGAGACAGUGGGCAAGACAGCUGUGGCUCCAUCCUGUCGGAGAUCCCCACCAUCCCCAGGCCCCAGCGCUGCUGGAAGGCCAGCCAGAGGCAGCAGACAGACGCGUGAAGAAUUGGGGAAUACAUUUAGCUGCUUAUCACCUGCUGAGGGAACUUCUAAGAACCAAUGUCCGAUUUCACUCUGCAGUCCUGAUGCCAUUGGUCUGGAGCAUGGCCUGGACAGCAGGAAUUUUAAAAGCCGCUCAGGACAUUCUGAAGUUUAAAGAAGGUGUAAAACUGGGGAAAGUAGAGCUCCAGGUAUCCGUGUGGAUUUGAGCAACAAUCUUCCUUACCAAAUUGCCGGCUUGGAUAAUCAUGUCUCAAGCUUCAAAGAUGGAGCAUAAUGUGGUGGUUGAAGAACUAAUCUUCCUUAUUUUGGAUUCUAGAUCUGCUGUUUACAAACCGUGUGACCCUGGCCAUGAUACUUAAUAUCACUGAGUCUCAGUUCUCUUGUCUCUUAAGUGGGUAUAAGUGUGGCAACUAUGAUUAUGAUGCUAUUAUGAUGUUUAAGGGAGAUGAUCCAUGUAAAUAAUUUAAGCUUAGGUUUUCUCAUAUAGCCUUUUCUCCCAGUAAAGACUGAUUAAAAUGAAAUUUAAACUUCAUAUGGUUCUAAGUGACCUCUCUUGAUUUAUUCUGUUGGUGUAGAUGGGAACUGGCUUGUUCAGAAACCUCCCUGGAUGAUUCUAACGUUCAGCUGGGGUCGAGGAGCAAUCUUGGUGUCUGAUUCUGCUUUCCCUGUUCUCGUAGGAGCUUCCCAGGUACCUCUCUCAGUGGUCUAGUCCUCAGGCUUGUUUCAGGGCCACUUCUAAACAGCUUUGAAUCCACAUAGUUUUCCUUUUGCUUUUAUAAUUCUUGUGUUUUUUUAAUCAGAGUAAAUGUGGAUUAUUACUUCUAUUUCAUUGUUUUUAUUUUUCUAAUGGCCAUUUUCCCCGAUUUUAAGAACCCAUGUUUAUUUUAUUCCCCACACAGAGACAAAAUAAUGAAAAUAUUAUAUUUUUGUCCAAAUUUCUAUGUAUCAUGUGUCUAUAAAUGGAAGUUUUAAAAUUGCAAAGGUAGUUUUGAAAGUUGCUUCUUUUGCUUCACCUUAUAUCAUAAGCACAGUCUCAAAUGCUACGGAUUUUUGGAAGUAUAAUAAUUUAUUCUGUUUGUCAUUCUGAUGUAUCCCACUGUAUUUUACCAUUCCCUUACUAUCAGCAGUAUUGGUUUCCUUGGGCUGCCUGAACCAAAUACCACAGACUGGGGUGGCUUAAAACAACAGAUAUCUAUCCCCUCAGAGUUCUAGAGGUUAGAAGUCUGCAGAAGGUGUAGGCAUGCUUGAUUCCUCUGGAAACUCAGAAGAAGAAUCUGUCCCCUGCUGCUCUCCCCACUUCUGGAAGUUGCCCCAGCCUCUGGUGCCCCUGGGCUUGUAGACACAUCACUCUAUUGUGUCUCCCUCUUCACGUGCUUUUGUGUCCCUCUGUGUCUCUGAGUCCAAGUUUCCCUCUUCUUAUAAGCUCCUCUCUGACCCAGCAUGACUUCUUCUUAACUUGGGUUAUAUCUGCAAAGACCUUAUUAUAAAAUAAGAUCACUGUUACAGGUACUGAGAGUUAAGAAUUGUAUUGUUUUGAGGGACGUGAUUCAACCAGGUAUAUCAGCCAUUUAUGACUUCCAUCUGCCUUUUUAAGGGACCAGUAAAGGUUUACCCAACAAUACUGGUCUUCUCAAUACUUCUACAUUUCAGCUCUUUAUAGUUUCCCGCCCUGCUGUGAGUUCACACAGGUGCUGAGGAAGCCAGGCCAAGGGUAGAAAUGGGGCCGAGUGUUCACUUCUGUCCUCCCUAGAUGCCCACCUUCCCUGGAGCAAGCUGGGUGCCUGUCUGGGAAGUCCAGGAGGGGCGGGCUGAGGCAGGGAGGGAGCCACAGGUGGUGGGAGCAUGGCUUCCUGCAGCUGCCUGGCCACCUGGCUGGACAGCUGUUCUCCCGACCAGGGAGCUGUGGAUGGCAGGGCUGCCUGGCUUAUCACGGCCUCGGAGAGUUACAUGAUGCCAAAAUGCCUGGUCGAAUCUGUCAGUUCUUGUGAGCAGCCGUUUUAGGGGGUGGAGGAGUGGCACCGGGGGCAUGGAAUCUCCAAACUGAUUGUUUAUAGUGCCUGCUCAGUUUAGACAAGUAUUGACCCGAGGACACCCGCAGUCACUGGUUCAGC
ensembl:lncRNA